rnacentral:rRNA from 1 species
UACGUAGGGGGCUAGCGUUGUCCGGAAUCAUUGGGCGUAAAGAGCGUGUAGGCGGCCCGGUAAGUCCGCUGUGAAAGUCGGGGGCUCAACCCUCGAAUGCCGGUGGAUACUGUCGGGCUAGAGUGCGGAAGAGGCGAGUGGAAUUCCUGGUGUAGCGGUGAAAUGCGCAGAUAUCAGGAGGAACACCGAUUGCGAAGGCAGCUCGCUGGGACGUCACUGACGCUGAGACGCGAAAGCCAGGGGAGCAAACGGG